rnacentral:rRNA from 1 species
UACGUAGGGGCUAGCGUUAUCCGGAAUUACUGGGCGUAAAGGGUGCGUAGGUGGUUUCUUAAGUCAGAGGUGAAAGGCUACGGCUCAACCGUAGUAAGCCUUUGAAACUGGGAAACUUGAGUGCAGGAGAGGAGAGUGGAAUUCCUAGUGUAGCGGUGAAAUGCGUAGAUAUUAGGAGGAACACCAGUUGCGAAGGCGGCUCUCUGGACUGUAACUGACACUGAGGCACGAAAGUGUGGGGAGCAAACAGGAUUAGAUACUCGCGUAGUCCCUGA